GACGAACGCUGGCGGCGUGCCUAAUACAUGCAAGUCGAACGCAGUGGGGACGGGUGAGUAACACGUGGGUAACCUCCCAUCAGAGGGGAUAACACUUGGAAACAGGUGCUAAACCGAUACUGAUGGAUGGACCCGCGGUGCAUUAGCUAGUGGGGGGGGUAACGGCUCACCAAGUCCACGAUGCAUAGCCGACCUGAGAGGGGGAUCGGCGACACUGGGACGGAGACACGGACCAGACGCCUACGUGAGGCAGCAGUAGGGAAUCUUCGGCAAUGGACGAAAGUCUGACCGAUCAACGCCGCGUGAGUUAAGAAGGUUUUCGGAGCGUAAAGCUCUGUUGUUAGAGAAGCGGUAUCUAACCAGAAAGCAACGGCUAACUACGUGCCAGCCGCCGCGGUAAUAC
rnacentral:rRNA from 1 species